UCAAACGCUUAACCAACAGAGCUACCCAGGCACUCCAGUCCAGAAGAUUCUGCCCUGCUUCCCGCCACGUGGAAUGGCCCAAACUACAGAGACCUUCUCUUAGGGUCUCCUGUCCAUGGUCUGCCAGUGAGCUUUCAUUGUGGUGUUCCCUCAGAAAGCUGAUGAGGUAAACUGUGUGAUCUGUGCUUAAGUAAGGUACAAGGCGGCUGCCAGGGGGAGGGGACAGGGAGAAAUUAACAUGGCAUAAGGAGAGCACCACCCUUGUCUGACACAUUGGGGUUGCCUGUCCCGCCUCUAACCUGAAAUCAGUGCUACUGUGCCGUGACCCAGGUGGUGUCCCUCUGAGUCUCAAGAUUCCUUGUUCAGAAGGUUGCCGAGAAGGAGAGAUGUCCAAUGGAUUGGCAGCUCAGGGAUGCAGGGUUUGCGGUGAUGAUGAGCCUACAUUCCAGAAUGAUAUUCCCAGAUGGCUCCUGGAUCAUCUCCCCCGAGACCAGUGACUCACUGAGGCGAACUAAGAGGUGACCUAGAGGCAGCGUAAUCUGGUGAGACUCGCCCAUCAGAGAGUGACCUGCAUGAGCACAUGGCUUGGCCCCCUGCCUCCUCUGCCCCAUUUCUGCAUCCAUAAAACAAAGAGGAAGGAUGAACUAAUCUCAGGGAGCGAACACGAGGAAUCUGCAUUUCGGACAGGCAGUCAGGUGGUGCGUAUGCACUCUGAAGUUGGAGAACCUCUGCUCCUUGCCUCCCUGCUUAUUAAAAAUAAAAAAGCCUCCAGCUAUGCAUUAGGAGAAUUCCACCUUCCUUUAUUCUCGCCACUUCAAAUAAUUCAAACUCCUAAAUUCCUGCCGCGUCAGCACACCGUAACCAGUAAGCCCAGGUUUCUUCGCCACCGUCUGCUGAGACCCACCUGCGGGAACUUUAGCCUCCUUUGGAAAGUCUUUGGAAGCCCGGCAAAGAACUGAGCGGGAAGCCCCGUGAAGUUAUCAGCAACUUGGAGAAGCAGCCGAAGUAAGGCCUGGGGAAGCAAGCAGGAAAUUCCCACGACAAAAUCCACCCAAGUCCCAACAAACACAGCUGAAGAGGCAGCGCUUUGCUGCCAGGUCGGCAACAGACGGCACGGCCCACGUGCACACACGCACGUGCUCACGCCAGCGAAGCUGAGUGUGUCGUGUGCCAGCCAGGUUGCCCUGCAGCUUGGAGAAGACCCAAGCCACCAGCGGCGGAACACUCCUGUCAAAACCAGCCCCGAGAGAGGCAGAUUCCCCAGCUCCCUCUGGCCCAGCCGGCGCAGGUCUUCCUGCCAAUGCGAGCUGGGCCUGCACCAGACUUUUCCCCUCUCUUCUCCCUUCUGAUUAUAGAAGGAAGCUGUUCAUUGUUGGAAAAGCCGAAAGCAGAAAAAUUGAACAGAAUUUAAAUCUCUCAUCAUCUGACUAACAGAGAAAACUGCUAUCUUCAUUUUGGGAUACUUUCAGAUGUUUUCCCAUGUUUUUACAUAGUUUUUCGUAAGGCAGAUGGAAUUAUACUAGACCUGUGCGGCUCAACACAGAGCCUACUGACCACACAUGGCUAUUGAUAAAUAGGGGCACCUGGGUGGCUCAGUUGGUUAAGCGACUGACUUUGGCUCAGGUCAUGA